AAUCAAUGCAUUGGGCAGUUACGAAUUAAAUCUUUAAAUCAUUCCUAAGCUUCAUACAAUGUUUAAUCCUCUAAUUUUUGAAAACAUGUGAUGUCAUUUCUACGCUU
rfam:Gossypium raimondii Chr10_contig_1087, whole genome shotgun sequence.